rnacentral:ribozyme from 1 species
AAAUAAAACUGAAUUUUGCGUAGAAUGCACUGUCCUCUGACAAUUGCAUAUAUAUAUAUAUAUUCCACCUUUUCUCCGUCUUUUUUCUUUUUGUUUGUUUUU